rnacentral:rRNA from 1 species
UACAGAGGUCCCAAGCGUUUGUUCGGAUUCACUGGGCGUAAAGGGUGCGUAGGUGGCGAGGUAAGUCGAACGUGAAAUCCCCCGGGCUCAACCCGGGAACUGCGUCCGAUACUGGAAGGCUUGAAUCCGGGAGAGGGAUGUGGAAUUCCAGGUGUAGCGGUGAAAUGCGUAGAUAUCUGGAGGAACACCGGGUGGCGAAGGCGACAUCCUGGACCGGUAUUGACGCUGAGGCGCGAAAGCCAGGGGAGCAAACGGG